AACACGGGCUUCUGUCAUGAGUAGCACAUGUAGGGCAGCUUGAUUGUUCUAUGUGCAGAAUCAACAUCAAAAGAUUUGGGAAGUGUAACUUUUUGGUAUCUAGGCAGCUGUUGAUUGUUGAUAUUGUGCCUGU